rnacentral:rRNA from 1 species
GUACUUACUCCUACGGGAUGCAGCAGUGGGGAAUUUUGGACAAUGGGGGCAACCCUGAUCCAGCAAUGCCGCGUGAGUGAAGAAGGCCUUCGGGUUGUAAAGCUCUUUUGUCAGGGAAGAAACGGUAGUAGCUAAUAUCUAUUACUAAUGACGGUACCUGAAGAAUAAGCACCGGCUAACUACGUGCCAGCAGCCGCGGUAAUACGUAGGGUGCAAGCGUUAAUCGGAAUUACUGGGCGUAAAGCGUGCGCAGGCGGUUAUAUAAGACAGAUGUGAAAUCCCCGGGCUCAACCUGGGAACUGCAUUUGUGACUGUAUAGCUAGAGUACGGUAGAGGGGGAUGGAAUUCCGCGUGUAGCAGUGAAAUGCGUAGAUAUGCGGAGGAACACCGAUGGCGAAGGCAAUCCCCUGGACCUGUACUGACGCUCAUGCACGAAAGCGUGGGGAGCAAACAGGAUUAGAAACCCGUGUAGUCCAGGCAU